UUGCAGCCACAUCAUGUUGAAAUACAGAUUCCCAUACAUUCACCAAAGUUAAGCAACAUUGAGCCUGGUCAGUACCUAGAUGGGUGACCACUUGGAUGUGCAGGUGAUGUA